AUGUAUCAAAACGCCCAUCAGCUGUAAAAAGGAACAAAGAACCGAUGAAGAACUCGGGAACAAGGUGCCGAUAGACGCGCUGCCACGAAGAAAUUGACUCGUGUGUCGUGACGUCACGGUGCCGAGCGGGGAGAAGGACGCGCGCGAUCCUGCCCACGUGUUUCGUUCCAGCUGAUAACCGGGCUCGGAGCUGAAACGCGGCUUCUUUCGAGACCGAGUGGAAGCGGGACUGGGGGACAUUGGCGCGGAGCUAUUUGCUUUGAAGUCAAUCUCUUUCGUUAAAAUAACGACGUAAAUAAAAUCAGUAAUCCCACUUACCCUGAGAAAACAUGGAAGACUGGGAGGACAACGUGGACCCCAUGCCCCAGAGUGCUUACAAUGCAUUGACAAAUGGUAAUGAAACAAAGACCUGGAAUAGCCUCUAUUCAGAUAGGCCUUCUUACAGUCAAAAUGAUAAUGAGAGCUCCUGGAGCAGUAAUGUAAGAGGUGGCUCUUCCAAUCAGAGAGGUAAG